rnacentral:rRNA from 1 species
AUUGAACGCUGGCGGCAGGCCUAACACAUGCAAGUCGAACGAGUGGCGGACGGGUGAGUAAUGUCGGGGACACUGCCUGAUGGAGGGGGAUAACUACUGGAAACGGUAGCUAAUACCGCAUACCAUCAGAUGUUCCCAGAGGGGAUUAGCUGGUUGGUGGGGUAACGGCUCACCAAGGCGACGAUCCCUAGCGGGUCUGAGAGGAUGACGAGCCAGACUGGAACUGAUACACGGUCCAGACUCCUACGAGAGGCAGCAGUGGGGAAUAUUGGACAAUGGGCGCAAGCCUGAUACAGCCAUGCCGCGUGGAUGAAGAAGGCCUUCGGGUUUUAAAGUACUUUCAGCGGGGAGGCGUUACCCGCAGAAGAAGCACCGGCUAACUCCGUGCCAGCAGCCGCGGUAAUUC